AGGGAAAUCAAGGGUGUUUGAGUGACUGACCGAAAGUCACACAGCUAGGAAGUAAAGGAGCCAGGAUACAGGCCCAGAGCCCUGGUUUUAUCUGAAACCAAAACCAGAAGUUCCUCUUCCAGCUGCCACCACCUCUCUGAGUAUCAGCCCUGCUAAUGACAAUGGUAACAUCAGCUCCGCAGCAUCGUUCUAAGCACGGCACCAGCUAAUGCAGUACAUCUGUGAGCCGUCGCUUGCUCCUCACAGCAGGACCAUGGGAUUGAUGCCGUCAUUACCAUCCUCCCCACGUUAUAGAUGAGGAUAUUGAAGAGAGGUGACAUCUAAAUGCAACCUGGUAUCCUGGAUUAGAUCCCAGAACAGAAAAAGGACAUUGGUGGAAAAACUGGAGACAUCUGGAUAAAGUCUGGAGUGGAGUUAAUAGCAGUGUACCAAUGUUAAUUUCUUAGUUUUGAUGAAUGCACUAGGUAAUGUCAGAUGCUAACAUUAGGUGACACUGGGCAAACAGUAUACGG
rnacentral:lncRNA from 1 species